ACUGCUCUUAGGGUUGCAGGUGUGGCUGCUGUGUCACAUGCACACCAGUAGGUGGCAGAGAGGAGAGAGGUUACUUCUAUCCACGGUGUUCUGACCUAGGAACAUCUAAAUGAUUAGUAGAAUAACACU